CACGUAGUUAGCCGUGGCUUUCUGAUUAGGUACCGUCAAGAUGUGCAUAGUUACUUACACAUUUGUUCUUCCCUAAUAACAGAGUUUUACGAUCCGAAGACCUUCAUCACUCACGCGGCGUUGCUCCGUCAGGCUUUCGCCCAUUGCGGAAGAUUCCCUACUGCUGCCUCCCGUAGGAGUCUGGACCGUGUCUCAGUUCCAGUGUGGCCGAUCACCCUCUCAGGUCGGCUACGCAUCGUUGCCUUGGUAAGCCGUUACCUUACCAACUAGCUAAUGCGGCGCGGAUCCAUCUAUAAGUGACAGCAAAACCGUCUUUCACUAUUGAACCAUGCGGUUCAAUAUAUUAUCCGGUAUUAGCUCCGGUUUCCCGAAGUUAUCCCAGUCUUAUAGGUAGGUUAUCCACGUGUUACUCACCCGUCCGCCGCUAACGUCAGAGGAGCAAGCUCCUCGUCUGUUCGCUCGACUUGCAUGUAUUAGGCACGCCGCCAGCGUUCAU
rnacentral:rRNA from 1 species